GGAAAUGUGCCCGAGCAUCAAGGAUUACUUUGAUAGAGUAAAUUACAGAGGUUUAAAUCCUCUCAUUUCCU
rnacentral:tRNA from 1 species